rnacentral:tRNA from 1 species
GGGGGUUUAGCUUAGUGGUAGAGCGCUUGCCUAGCAAGCACAAGGCCCUGGGUUAAGUCCCCAGCUCCG